rnacentral:rRNA from 1 species
CCUACGGGUGGCAGCAGUGGGGAAUUUUGGACAAUGGGCGCAAGCCUGAUCCAGCCAUGCCGCGUGCAGGAUGAAGGCCUUCGGGUUGUAAACUGCUUUUGUACGGAACGAAAAGGUUUGGCCUAAUACGCUGAACUCAUGACGGUACCGUAAGAAUAAGCACCGGCUAACUACGUGCCAGCAGCCGCGGUAAUACGUAGGGUGCGAGCGUUAAUCGGAAUUACUGGGCGUAAAGCGUGCGCAGGCGGUUAUGUAAGACAGAUGUGAAAUCCCCGGGCUCAACCUGGGAACUGCAUUAGUGACUGCAUAGCUGGAGUACGGCAGAGGGGGAUGGAAUUCCGCGUGUAGCAGUGAAAUGCGUAGAUAUGCGGAGGAACACCGAUGGCGAAGGCAAUCCCCUGGGCCUGUACUGACGCUCAUGCACGAAAGCGUGGGGAGCAAACAGGAUUAGAUACCCUGGUAGUC